GCUCAGGAUGAACGCCGGCGGUGUGCCUAAUACAUGCAAGUCGAACGCGUUGGCCCAAUUGAUUGAUGGUGCUUGCACCUGAUUGAUUUUGGUCGCCAACGAGUGGCGGACGGGUGAGUAACACGUAGGUAACCUGCCCAGAAGCGGGGGACAACAUUUGGAAACAGAUGCUAAUACCGCAUAACAGCGUUGUUCGCAUGAACAACGCUUAAAAGAUGGCUUCUCGCUAUCACUUCUGGAUGGACCUGCGGUGCAUUAGCUUGUUGGUGGGGUAACGGCCUACCAAGGCGAUGAUGCAUAGCCGAGUUGAGAGACUGAUCGGCCACAAUGGGACUGAGACACGGCCCAUACUCCUACGGGAGGCAGCAGUAGGGAAUCUUCCACAAUGGGCGCAAGCCUGAUGGAGCAACACCGCGUGAGUGAAGAAGGGUUUCGGCUCGUAAAGCUCUGUUGUUAAAGAAGAACACGUAUGAGAGUAACUGUUCAUACGUUGACGGUAUUUAACCAGAAAGUCACGGCUAACUACGUGCCAGCAGCCGCGGUAAUACGUAGGUGGCAAGCGUUAUCCGGAUUUAUUGGGCGUAAAGAGAGUGCAGGCGGUUUUCUAAGUCUGAUGUGAAAGCCUUCGGCUUAACCGGAGAAGUGCAUCGGAAACUGGAUAACUUGAGUGCAGAAGAGGGUAGUGGAACUCCAUGUGUAGCGGUGGAAUGCGUAGAUAUAUGGAAGAACACCAGUGGCGAAGGCGGCUACCUGGUCUGCAACUGACGCUGAGACUCGAAAGCAUGGGUAGCGAACAGGAUUAGAUACCCUGGUAGUCCAUGCCGUAAACGAUGAGUGCUAGGUGUUGGAGGGUUUCCGCCCUUCAGUGCCGGAGCUAACGCAUUAAGCACUCCGCCUGGGGAGUACGACCGCAAGGUUGAAACUCAAAGGAAUUGACGGGGGCCCGCACAAGCGGUGGAGCAUGUGGUUUAAUUCGAAGCUACGCGAAGAACCUUACCAGGUCUUGACAUCUUGCGCCAACCCUAGAGAUAGGGCGUUUCCUUCGGGAACGCAAUGACAGGUGGUGCAUGGUCGUCGUCAGCUCGUGUCGUGAGAUGUUGGGUUAAGUCCCGCAACGAGCGCAACCCUUGUUACUAGUUGCCAGCAUUAAGUUGGGCACUCUAGUGAGACUGCCGGUGACAAACCGGAGGAAGGUGGGGACGACGUCAGAUCAUCAUGCCCCUUAUGACCUGGGCUACACACGUGCUACAAUGGACGGUACAACGAGUCGCGAACUCGCGAGGGCAAGCAAAUCUCUUAAAACCGUUCUCAGUUCGGACUGCAGGCUGCAACUCGCCUGCACGAAGUCGGAAUCGCUAGUAAUCGCGGAUCAGCAUGCCGCGGUGAAUACGUUCCCGGGCCUUGUACACACCGCCCGUCACACCAUGAGAGUUUGUAACACCCAAAGUCGGUGGGGUAACCUUUUAGGAGCCAGCCGCCUAAGGUGGGACAGAUGAUUAGGGGAAGUC
rnacentral:rRNA from 2 species